rnacentral:rRNA from 1 species
CUUUUACAAUGAAGAGUUUGAUCCUGGCUCAGGAUGAACGCUAGCUACAGGCUUAACACAUGCAAGUCGAGGGGCAGCAUUUUAGUUUGCUUGCAAACUGAAGAUGGCGACCGGCGCACGGGUGAGUAACACGUAUCCAACCUGCCGAUAACUCCGGAAUAGCCUUUCGAAAGAAAGAUUAAUACCGGAUAGCAUACGAAUAUCGCAUGAUAUUUUUAUUAAAGAAUUUCGGUUAUCGAUGGGGAUGCGUUCCAUUAGUUUGUUGGCGGGGUAACGGCCCACCAAGACUACGAUGGAUAGGGGUUCUGAGAGGAAGGUCCCCCACAUUGGAACUGAGACACGGUCCAAACUCCUACGGGAGGCAGCAGUGAGGAAUAUUGGUCAAUGGGCGAGAGCCUGAACCAGCCAAGUAGCGUGAAGGAUGAAGGCUCUAUGGGUCGUAAACUUCUUUUAUAUGGGAAUAAAGUUUUCCACGUGUGGAAUUUUGUAUGUACCAUAUGAAUAAGGAUCGGCUAACUCCGUGCCAGCAGCCGCGGUAAUACGGAGGAUCCGAGCGUUAUCCGGAUUUAUUGGGUUUAAAGGGAGCGUAGGUGGAUUGUUAAGUCAGUUGUGAAAGUUUGCGGCUCAACCGUAAAAUUGCAGUUGAAACUGGCAGUCUUGAGUACAGUAGAGGUGGGCGGAAUUCGUGGUGUAGCGGUGAAAUGCUUAGAUAUCACGAAGAACUCCGAUUGCGAAGGCAGCUCACUAGACUGUCACUGACACUGAUGCUCGAAAGUGUGGGUAUCAAACAGGAUUAGAUACCCUGGUAGUCCACACAGUAAACGAUGAAUACUCGCUGUUUGCGAUAUACAGUAAGCGGCCAAGCGAAAGCAUUAAGUAUUCCACCUGGGGAGUACGCCGGCAACGGUGAAACUCAAAGGAAUUGACGGGGGCCCGCACAAGCGGAGGAACAUGUGGUUUAAUUCGAUGAUACGCGAGGAACCUUACCCGGGCUUAAAUUGCAACAGAAUAUAUUGGAAACAGUAUAGCCGUAAGGCUGUUGUGAAGGUGCUGCAUGGUUGUCGUCAGCUCGUGCCGUGAGGUGUCGGCUUAAGUGCCAUAACGAGCGCAACCCUUAUCUUUAGUUACUAACAGGUUAUGCUGAGGACUCUAGAGAGACUGCCGUCGUAAGAUGUGAGGAAGGUGGGGAUGACGUCAAAUCAGCACGGCCCUUACGUCCGGGGCUACACACGUGUUACAAUGGGGGGUACAGAAGGCAGCUACACGGCGACGUGAUGCUAAUCCCAAAAACCUCUCUCAGUUCGGAUCGAAGUCUGCAACCCGACUUCGUGAAGCUGGAUUCGCUAGUAAUCGCGCAUCAGCCAUGGCGCGGUGAAUACGUUCCCGGGCCUUGUACACACCGCCCGUCAAGCCAUGAAAGCCGGGGGUACCUGAAGUACGUAACCGCAAGGAGCGUCCUAGGGUAAAACUGGUAAUUGGGGCUAAGUCGUAACAAGGUAGCCGUACCGGAAGGUGCGGCUGGAACACCUCCUUUCU